AUAAAGAAAGCAGAUCGCAUGAUCAGCUUUUAAAAGGCGGCGUAAAGCUGUCGCUAUGGGGAUGGCCCCCGCGGUGCAUUAGCUAGUUGGUAAGGUAAAGGCUUACCAAGGCGAUGAUGCAUAGCCCGAGUUGAGAGACUGAUCGGCCACAUUGGGACUGAGACACCGGCCCAAAAACUCCUACGGGAGGCAGCAGUAGGGAAUCUUCCACAGUGGACGCAAGUCUGAUGGAGCAACGCCGCGUGAGUGAAGUAAGGUUUUCGGAUCGUAAAGCUCUGUUGUUGGUGAAGAAGGAUAGAGGUAGUAACUGGUCCUUUAUUUGACGGUAAUCAACCAGAAAGUCACGGCUAACUACGUGCCCAGCAGCCGCGGGUAAU
rnacentral:rRNA from 1 species